rnacentral:rRNA from 1 species
UACAGGGGGGGGCUAGCGUUACUCAACGUUACUGGGCGUUAAGGACACGUAGGCGGUUUUUGUUUAGUUGCUUCCGAAAUUCUAGCUUAAUGUUAGUAGUGGAAGUAAAAACUGUUAAAACUUUUGAAUCUGGGAGGGGUUUUGGGAAUUUCGGGUGUAAAGGUACAAUUUUGCCAUAUCCGAAGGAAUGCCGGGAGGUGAAGACGCGAAACUGGCUCAGAUUGACGUUAAGGUGUGAAGUUUGGGUAUCAACCGGG